GCUCCCUCGCUGCGAUCUAUUGAAA
rnacentral:piRNA from 4 species